rnacentral:lncRNA from 1 species
CCCACAUGCCUGCUUAAAGCCCUCUCCAUCCUCUGCCUCACCCAGUCCCCGCUGAGACUGAGCAGACGCCUCCAGGAUCUGUCGGCAGCUGCUGUUCUGAGGGAGAGCAGAGACCAUGUCUGACAUAGAAGAGGUGGUGGAAGAGUACGAGGAGGAGUGACAGAAGCAGCUGUUGAAGAGCAGGAGGAGGCAGCGGAAGAGGAUGCUGAAGCAGAGGCUGAGACCGAGGAGACCAGGGCAGAAGAAGAUGAAGAAGAAGAGGAAGCAAAGGAGGCUGAAGAUGGCCCAAUGGAGGAGUCCAAACCAAAGCCCAGGUCGUUCAUGCCCAACUUGGUGCCUCCCAAGAUCCCCGAUGGAGAGAGAGUGGACUUUGAUGACAUCCACCGGAAGCGCAUGGAGAAGGACCUGAAUGAGUUGCAGGCGCUGAUCGAGGCUCACUUUGAGAACAGGAAGAAAGAGGAGGAGGAGCUCGUUUCUCUCAAAGACAGGAUCGUAGAGACGUCGGGCAGAGCGGGCCGAGCAGCAGCGCAUCCGGAAUGAGCGGGAGAAGGAGCGGCAGAACCGCCUGGCUGAAGAGAGGGCUCGACGAGAGGAGGAGGAGAACAGGAGGAAGGCUGAGGAUGAGGCCCGGAAGAAGAAGGCUUUGUCCAACAUGAUGCAUUUUGGGGGUUACAUCCAGAAGACAGAGCGGAAAAGUGGGAAGAGGCAGACUGAGCGGGAAAAGAAGAAGAAGAUUCUGGCUGAGAGGAGGAAGGUGCUGGCCAUUGACCACCUGAAUGAAGAUCAGCUGAGGGAGAAGGCCAAGGAGCUGUGGCAGAGCAUCUAUAACUUGGAGGCAGAGAAGUUCGACCUGCAGGAGAAGUUCAAGCAGCAGAAAUAUGAGAUCAAUGUUCUCCGAAACAGGAUCAACGAUAACCAGAAAGUCUCCAAGACCCGCGGGAAGGCUAAAGUCACCGGGCGCUGGAAAUAGAGCCUGGCCUCCUUCACCAAAGAUCUGCUCCUCGCUCGCACCUGCCUCCGGCCUGCACUCCCCCAGUUCCCGGGCCCUCCUGGGCACCCCAGGCAGCUCCUGUUUGGAAAUGGGGAGCUGGCCUAGGUGGGAGCCACCACUCCUGCCUGCCCCCACACCCACUCCACACCAGUAAUAAAAAGCC